rfam:Burkholderia udeis isolate LMG 27134 genome assembly, contig: contig000002
CCAGCCCUGCGUAACUGGCGACAAGGAUCUUCGGAUCCAAGGUGGAUUAACCCACCGGGAAGCGCAGGGUGUCGUUUUGCCGUUCGCCUGGGCAGCUGAG